AUGGGGUCCUCGGUGGUAAUGCUGGAAACUCCGGAGCUUCUCUCAGCCGGGAGACCGGUGGCCUUGCUCCUGACCUGGGCAGGGCUGCGGGGCAGAAAUCGUCCAGGCCCAGCACCGCAGCUUUUCCUCUCCAGCAGCCUCUUUGGGCGUCUUUCGCUGCAUCUCUGCGCUGCCACCUCCUGGCCAGACCGAGUAGUGAGCAGGGUCUGUGGGCGCGGAGUCCAGACACCCAGCCCGGAGGCUGCCGCUCCACCCAGGGCUCCUGAGCGGCCCAGGGACCGUCCCCAAACUCAGUCUGCAGAGAAGACAGCACAGGCCAUGGUCAGGUUACAGUGUGGAGACACCUACGUGUUCAGAAGUCUGCAGUUCUUUAUUGCGAGGAGCAGCCUAUUAAGAGAGACAGAUUGUCUACCAGGAGCGGCUGACUCCCACCUCUUCCCAUUCUCUGCAUCUUGGUUCUCUCCUGCUAACACCCCUGCCCCCCAAGACAGAGCUCAUCUGCCUCUCUCCCCCUUGGCAUUAGCUUUAUCACUGGGAAGGGAUGUCAGUGACGGGAGUGGUGGGUAGCUUCAAACCAGUUCUGCUUGAGGAAUAGGAAUAAUUACAAAAUCUCAGGCUGUUAUCCAAUUACUUUGACAUGUGGCCAUCCUAGGGAGUUCUAACUGGAUUAAGUUCAUUAUAAAAAGAUUAGUCCUAGAAUGGGGACUCUGCAUAACAAAGUGAACCUUCAGAAUAUGUGCUGCUGGGCCACCAAGGACUUUGGGGGAAACCAAGUGAAUGGCUUUGUUUAUUGAAUUACUGCUAAGGGAUUCGCCAAGGAGUUUUGUUCAGAUAGUUCGUGGCUUACAGCUACUGUCAGCAGUUUGCUGUCUGUUUUCCCUUUUUUGCAGUGCUCUUCGUCAGUGCCAUUGUAGUUAUUGUCAAAGUGCUAAUCCAAGAUGUUUGUCCCUAACAUUCUGUAAGCAUGGUGAUAAGAUUAUUGAUCAAAAUGAGUCUGAGGCAUGCAGAGCUCAUAUAUUAUUCAUAAACUAUGUAUACAUGCACAUAUAUAGUGUGUAUCCAUAUAAUACCUUGCAGCUGUAUAAUUCUUCUUAGCUUUACAAAGCACUUUCACAUUUCUCACUUGACCCACACAGCAAUAUUCUGAGAUAAAUAGGCAUUAUUAUAAUGCUUUUACAGAUGAUGAAAGUAAGAUUCACAGAGGUUAAUCCAUAGUCGUCCAGUGAGAUGGUCCCAGAACUGAGGUAACCGGUCAGAUCUGCUAUUCCAGACCUACCCUCCACAAACGCACACCGACUCAGUUUGCACGUGUGGUUUAGACACAGAGUAUGUAUCCACUCAUAGCUGUUGGCUAUUUGAAUUAACUAGAUUGGUUGAGAUCAUUUUUCUUCCUCAAUUUGCCAAGAGAAUUAUAUCACAUAUCAUUUUUGAACAACUAAUUUAGCUGCCAAAUGUGUUCUUCUCCCUCGUAUUGAGCUAGGAGCAUUUUUUUUCAUGCAGAAAACAUCCGGCCGUGGUUCUUCUGUAUCUUCACUGUUCUGCUUUAGGAAAAGGGACUACCACUUUAUCUUCCUAGUGUAAAUGCUCACACUCCUUUUGAGUAUCUUGAGAUGAGGGGCGUGGAUGUUAGGAUCAAUGGAAAGAUGUGAAUUACCAGCCAUUCUCUUAUUUGCCUUGACUGACUUUCCUGGGCUGCCAACUCCUCCUGGGUGAACAAGUAAGACUCUAGAUGGAUAAAUCUGAGCUGUAGCUGUUUGUUAGGAUCAGCAGUGCCUUCACCUCCUAAGCCCACUACAGCCUGUACUAAUGGAUCAUCCCACUCCUUUCUCCAUAAGCUGUGGUUGGACUUCCAACCCAUCUGAAAACAGACCUCAAAGAGUCAAGAAUAGGCUAGCAAGAUGACAUUUGUUUACCUAUGACCUUGAUUCUAGAUUCUGGUGACCCCAAGAACCAUGUAGGCCUUGAGAAGCAAGCCCGGGGCAACCAGUCAGCCCCUCUGUGUUUACUGCCAUCUCGAUGGCCCCAUUUGAUGACCAGCAAUUCAGGACAGCCAGGGAAGGUCAAGAGGAAAAUGAAAUGAUUAAUGAGAGUAUUAGACUUGGGAAGAGAAUAUAUUCAGAGUACAAUUACAGUAAAGAUUAGGGCAGAAGCCAGUUACCCAGAACAAGAAAAGAAAUAUGAAAGCAGAAAUCUAGGUUACUGUAGACCAAUGAUUCUAUCCCUUCUUUCCUAAAGAAAUAUAACAUUUAACAUAUAACAUUUAACAUAUAACAUAUAACAUUUAGUGCCAACUUUUACUCCCUAAAGCACAUCUACUCAUAGUUGAAAUUUUAAAACAGAUAAUAUAAACUGUUGAAGUAUAGUCUAGUUUCCCC
rnacentral:lncRNA from 1 species